rnacentral:tRNA from 1 species
GGGGAUAUAGCUCAGUUGGUAGGGUGCUUGCCUAGCAUGCACAAGGCCCUGGGUUCGAUCCCCAGCACCAUCA